UCAUUGGAUUAUUAGUUUUAAAAGUACAUUAAAUACAUUAGAGGCUUAUGAGGCAUCCGAAUAUGUAACAUGAUCAUUCAUUCUAUUAUGCAUCAAGAACCAAAACAAUCACCUCAACCUUAGAGAUAGAGGAGCCAUUUGUCUUCUCAAGUGAGAUGGCUAAGAAGUAAGAACUUCAUUCCUUCACCCAGUUUACAUUUGCAUAAAAACUAGAGGAGGUGGACUAUAUAGAUACUUUUCCGUUGUUUCACCUAGUUUAGAUGAUGUGCAGAAAAAUUAAAGGUGGUGGGCUUUUAUAUAUCCUUUUCCUUCGUUUUAUUUAGGGUUAAGAGUCAAAUCAACAACUAUUUUUUAUCCUAAAUUAAAUUGGCUCAGCUAUAUGGAUCUUUCUUGGCAAUUAGCACUGUUAGUCAAUAUCCAAAACUUGUAAAUCCAUUUGAUACCACUUACCUCUAUGUCAUCUAAGGUUUCCGCUUUUCCCUCCUUACUCCUUCCCUUACUAACUCAUCCCACUUCCAACUAAGGCAUUUGUUGCUCUAUCAGAGAUGACAAACCAUCUCACAUUCUUACUCCUUUUUAGAGUUACAUUAGUGGAGAAACAAACACACACAGUGUGUGUGUGUGUGUAUAUAUAUAUAUAUAUAUAUCAAGGAGAGGUCUAAUUUUCUUUUGAAUUUCUUCUCGUUGGCUAACCAAGAACAACAAUUUUGCCUAGUCGUGGUGCCUGGUUAGCAAGCAAGAACAAAUUCAAAAGACAAUUAGACUUCCUCUCGACCACUCUAAUAUCCUAAUACCAGGUAACUUAAUAUAAGGGGAUGAAUAAGUUCAACUUCCUAAGUGAAAAUGGAAGAAAGUAGGUUUAGAAAUUAGAAAGUCAAACUUCUCGAUAAUUAGGCCAAAUUAUUGUGCUUGGUUAGCCAACAAGAACAAAUUCAAAAGAAAAUUACACCUCCCCUUGACCACUCAAUAUCCUGAAUACCAAGUAACUUAAUACAAGGGGAUGAAUAAGUUCAAAUUCCUAAGUGAAAAUGGAAUAAAAUUACUUGAAACUGAAAU
rnacentral:lncRNA from 1 species